GCGGUAGCGGAGCGUUCUGUAAGUUGUUGAAGGGAUACCUGUGAGGGGUCCUGGAGAUAUCAGAAGUGAGAAUGCUGACAUGAGUAGCGAUAAAGAGUGUGAGAAACACUCUCGCCGAAAGACCAAGGUUUCCUCAGCAAGGCUAAUCCGCUGAGGGUGAGUCGGCCCCUAAGGCAAGACCGAAAGGUGUAGUCGAUGGGAAACAGGUUAAUAUUCCUGUACCUGAUGAGAUGUGACGGAUGAUGUAAAUUGUACUUCCUUAUCGGAUUGGAAGUGCAGUGAAAUCGUCCCAGGAAAUAGCCUCAUCAUUAGACCGUACCCCAAACCGACACAGGUGGUCGAGUAGAGAAUACUAAGGCGCUUGAGAGAACUGUAUUGAAGGAACUCGGCAAAUUGCCUCCGUAACUUCGGGAGAAGGAGGCCCCAUGUUUAGGCAACUAGAUGUGGGGGGCACAGAAUAGGGGGUGGCGACUGUUUACUAAAAACACAGGGCUCUGCGAAGUCGCAAGACGACGUAUAGGGUCUGACGCCUGCCCGGUGCCUGAAGGUUAAGAGGAGGGGUGAGAGCUCCCAAUUGAAGCCCAGGUAAACGGCGGCCGUAACAAUAACGGUCCUAAGGUAGCGAAAUUCCUUGUCGGGUAAGUUCCGACCUGCACGAAUGGCGUAACGACUUCCCCGCUGUCUCCAACAUAGACUCAGUGAAAUUGAAUUGCCUGUCAAGAUGCAGGCUUCCCGCGGUUAGACGGAAAGACCCCGUGCACCUUUACUACAGCUUCACACUGGCAUCAGGCCAAGCAUGUGCAGGAUAGGUGGUAGACUUUGAAGCCAGGACGCAAGUCCCGGUGGAGUCACCCUUGAGAUACCACCCCUGCUUUGCUUGAUGUCUAACUGCGGUCCAUUAUCUGGAUCCAGGACCCUGUGUGGCGGGUAGUUUGACUGGGGCGGUCGCCUCCUAAAGCGUAACGGAGGCGCGCGAAGGUUGGCUCAGAGCGGUCGGAAAUCGCUCGUUGAGUGCAAUGGCAGAAGCCAGCCUGACUGCGAGACUGACAAGUCGAGCAGAGUCGAAAGACGGCCAUAGUGAUCCGGUGGUCCCGAGUGGAAGGGCCAUCGCUCAACGGAUAAAAGGUACGCCGGGGAUAACAGGCUGAUCUCCCCCAAGAGUCCACAUCGACGGGGAGGUUUGGCACCUCGAUGUCGGCUCAUCACAUCCUGGGGCUGGAGCAGGUCCCAAGGGU
rnacentral:rRNA from 1 species